GUGCUCGCUUCGGCAGCACAUAUACCGAAAUUGGAACGAUACAGAGAAGAUUUGCCCCAGCGCAAGGAUGACACGCAAAUUCCUGAAACGUUCCAUAUUUUU